UUACUGGUACCUCUAGGGGUCUAUAGGGAUGUCUCCCUACGCGUGAACCCAAUAUCUAAACUUGUCAAUUAUCUAGCCGUUCUCAUAUCUCGUAUGGUAUGACCGCCAAAAAUGUCAUCCCUCGAUACUUCAUUCAGUAUGAUGGUGAACUAGGCCGUUCUCAUACCCCGUCUGAUAUGAGCACAAAAAAUAUCAUCCUUCGAUACUUCGUCUGGUAUGAGGUGAUAUUCACAGUAAGAUUCUCUAUGUAUCCGG
rnacentral:lncRNA from 1 species